rnacentral:rRNA from 1 species
UACGGAGGGUGCAAACGUUGCUCGGAAUCAUUGGGCGUAAAGCGCACGUAGGCGGUCUCGAAAGUCGGGCGUGAAAUCCCUCGGCUUAACCAAGGAAGUGCACUCGAAACUUCGAGACUUGAAUACUGGAGAGGGUCGCAGAAUUCUCGGUGUAGAGGUGAAAUUCGUAGAUAUCUGGAGGAACACCGGUGGCGAAGGCGGCAUCCUGGACCGACAUUGACGCUGAGGCGCGAAAACUAGGGGAGCAAACGGG